GCAAAAGUUAAUAUCCAUAAGUCCAAAUUUAUGUAUGAUGCAUAAGUGAAUUACAGCCACUUGAUCAUGAAAUUUUUUUUGCCACGUGUUAUGAUCUCAAGUUGUCACACUGUGAACCUGAGUCACAGGAUCCACACAUCUCUCACUUCUCCACUUCCCCACCGUCUUUCUUCUCCACUUCUCUCACUUCUCCACUUCUCCACUUCGCCACCGUCUUUCUUCUCUUUGUAGCCACCGUGUUUCUUCCGUUCAUCGCCACCGUGAUUCUCCGUCGUGUUCUUGUUUCUUCUCUGUAUCGUCACUGUGACUUCGCCGUCGUGUUUGUUCUGUGUAUCGUCUUCUCCGUCACUCAGAAGCUGCGAUUGAAUUCUCGAAAUUGGAGAUUCAAUUUGCGCCUAACUCUAACAAUAUUCUAAUUUCAUCUUGGGAUUAUGUUUGUUUGGCGCUCUUCCAAGGACGGUAAUUUGACUGCAAACCAAGCCUAUGAAUUCUUUUUUCCGGCACAACAGCGGGUAGAUUGGACUGCUUGGCUUUGGCAUGUUUGUGUACCACCAUCUGCAUCAUUUAUUGCCUGGCGAUGCUUCCAUAAUAAAAUGCCUACAGAGGACACACUUAAGACAGCUAGAGCUGGAUCUUCGGAUGGCCGCACUUUAGUGCCAAACAUCAAGAGGAUUUUAGAUUUCGAUUGAGAGGUUACUGUACUGUGAGUCAUACUUAUCCGGAAGUAUGAUCCACCUCAAGAGGAUUUUAAUCGAAAAUCAUGAAUGCUUUUAUUUAUUAAUAUUGAGCUUUAGAUCAUCUGUUAUGUUGAAUGCAUAUUCUAACAUAGUUCCUAAGCAACCUCUUGACGACAGGUUUGUUUGGCGCUCUUCUAAGGACGGUAAUUUGACUGCAAACCAAGCCUAUGAAUUCUUUUUUCCGGCACAACAGCGGGUAGAUUGGACUGUUUGGCUUUGGCAUGUUUGUGUACCACCAUCUGCAUCAUUUAUUGCCUGGCGAUGCUUCCAUAAUAAAAUGCCUACAGACGAGAACCUCAUGCAUGCACAGGGGCUGUGUCGUAGUUUCUGGCUGUGAUCUCUGCCUUGCGCACAACGAUUCCACUCCUCAUCUAUUUCAGAAAAUUGAUCACAUUUGUUCUAUAGUUUAAGGCGAAAAUGGAAAUGCAUUUGUGAAUAAGUGUGUACUAUAGGUUGUGAAUAAUGGUUUGAAUAUUCAGGAUUUAAAAAAUCUAUUUUACUCUCAUAGUCAA